AUUUAAUCAUAGGGACAAAAACAUUUUUUUAAAAUUAAGAUGAGCAUUGAUUCCAAGUUAGAUUUUCUUUUAGAUUAAGAUUUUAAAAAUAAGUAAAAUAUUUUAAAUGACAUUUUAAAAACCAUCCCACAUUUUAAAACAAGAAAAUAAACAUUUUUCUAAAUUGUUUUUGUUGAGCUAUCUAUUUCUGAUGAUUAACAUUCUUUAAUAACUAUAUAGUAUCCCAGUCUGAAGAAACAUAAUUCACUUAAAUAAUCCCCAGAGAGUAGAUCAUUUUAUUAUACUACCAGAAAUUAUAAGUUCAUAAUAAAUAAUAUCAAAAAUUUGUGAGUUGAGAAGAUAAAUUAUUGGAAGUAAAGGCAAAAAGAUAAGAGCAUUUUGCUAUUGCAUCUUCCUGUUUAGGAACACUCUUCCACUAAUGCUGGAUAAGGAUGCCAAUUCUCUCAUACUUGUGCCAGUAAACAUUUUUUUCUUAGUUUUGAAAUGGGGAUCUUGCUAUGUUGUCUGCAGUGGCCGAAAUUCCUGGGCUUAUGCAAUCCUGCCUCAGCCUCCUGAGUAGCUGGGAUUACAGGCAUGCACAACCAUACUCAGCUUUCCUUGGGGUUGUCUAUAUAUAAUAAAAUCAUCAUCUACAAAUAGACUGCAAUUUGACUUUUUUCCACAUUUGGAUACCUUUUGUUUUUCUUACCUAAUAGCUCUUACUGGUUGGGACCCCCAGUACUAUUACAUUGAACAGCAGUGGUUAGAGUGGGUAUCCUUGUUUCCUCUUCUCAGAAUUAAACCUUUCAACUUUUAACUUGAGUAUGGUGUUUGCUUGGGCUUGUCGCAUAUAACCUUGAUUAUGGAGUUAUCAUUCUUCUAUGCUAAUUUCUU
rnacentral:lncRNA from 1 species